rnacentral:rRNA from 1 species
AACGAACGCUGGCGGCAGGCUUAACACAUGCAAGUCGAGCGCCCCGCAAGGGGAGCGGCAGACGGGUGAGUAACGUGUGGGAAUCUACCCAUCUCUACGGAAUAACGCAUGGAAACGUGUGCUAAUACCGUAUACGUCCUUCGGGAGAAAGAUUUAUCGGAGAUGGAUGAGCCCGCGUUGGAUUAGCUAGUUGGUGGGGUAAAGGCCUACCAAGGCGACGAUCCAUAGCUGGUCUGAGAGGAUGACCAGCCACACUGGAACUGAGACACGGGCCAGACUCAUACGGGAGGCAGCAGUGGGGAAUAUUGGACAAUGGGCGCAAGCCUGAUCCAGCCAUGCCGCGUGAGUGAUGAAGGCCCUAGGGUUGUAAAGCUCUUUCACCGGUGAAGAUAAUGACGGUAACCGGAGAAGAAGCCCCGGCUAACUUCGUGCCAGCCGCCGCGGUAAUAC